ACGCUCUUAACCCUUUGUGAACAUACCUAUAACUGUUGCUUCGGCGGGUAGGGUCUCCGUGACCCUCCCGGCCUCCCGCCCCCGGGCGGGUCGGCGCCCGCCGGAGGAUAACCAAACUCUGAUUUAACGACGUUUCUUCUGAGUGGUACAAGCAAAUAAUCAAAACUUUUAACAACGGAUCUCUUGGUUCUGGCAUCGAUGAAGAACGCAGCGAAAUGCGAUAAGUAAUGUGAAUUGCAGAAUUCAGUGAAUCAUCGAAUCUUUGAACGCACAUUGCGCCCGCCAGCAUUCUGGCGGGCAUGCCUGUUCGAGCGUCAUUUCAACCCUCAAGCUCUGCUUGGUGUUGGGGCCCUACAGCUGAUGUAGGCCCUCAAAGGUAGUGGCGGACCCUCCCGGAGCCUCCUUUGCGUAGUAACUUUACGUCUCGCACUGGGAUCCGGAGGGACUCUUGCCGUAAAACCCCCCAAUUUUCCAAAGGUUGACCUCGGAUCAGGUAGGAAUACCCGCUGAACUUAAGCAUAUCAAUAAGCGGAGGA
rnacentral:rRNA from 1 species